CAAACUAUAUGAACCACGACUUAUCUUGAAAUUUUUCAUUAAAUGGACGCUGAAUAAUUUCAAGACGCGAAUGUUGGAAGUUAAUUGCUCUACAAUGGGUCAUUCAAGUUACAUCUAUAGGUAAUAGCGUAUGCGAUGGAUGAAAAAACUAUUUUAAAAAAUGACCAAGUAGUUUUCACCGUGCUGUAUUCAUUUUUGCUUUCAUAAUCGGUAGUGAAUCUAGAACGCCAUUUGAACGGGGAAAAUUUAAGUAAUUUUUUGUGAAGUAUUCAUUUUCUUUAAUGAUGAAAAAAAUGAAUACUUAACAAAAAAUUACUUCAAACUUUCCCGUUCAAUAUAACUUUCUUAUUUGUAUUAUCUGGUGUACGGGUUUGUCGAAUAUGUAUGUUUCGCAAUCUGAAACCUUGUCAUCUAUAGAUCAGCAGAAAGCUUGAAUAGGCGUGCUGUUUCACGACUAUAGCCAUGCUAAGAUUGAAGAUUUUGAAGAUAUGUACCAUACAUUGGCUCGUGUUUCGGAGAUUCCAACGUAAAAACGCUUUACUCGUAUUUUGAAACGACCUCAAACGUAUUGAAAUAAACAGAAGAGUUCGUGAGAUGAAAUGGCUGAUUUUCAAGAAUAAACAUCAACAGCUCCAGAGGCGGAGAACAUGAAUCAACUCGUCGAUUAAUACCACCACGCGAUAUAGGUUAUCUAUAGACUUUGACGAACUUUGAGCAAAGACCAAAGAAUCGAGAUCUAGAUUGCUAAAACCGAGGAAAAAAAAAAGGUAAUUACGAAUUUGGCGGUUUA